rnacentral:rRNA from 2 species
CGUCGUGAGACAGGUUUGUUGCUUGGUGGUUGAAGUGUUUAGUGUCUGAUGGAAGGGGCCCUUCAGUACGAGAGGAACGAGGGCUCGGGGCCACUAGUUUACCAGUUGUCUGACAAGGCAAUGCUGGGUAGCCACGCCCUGAAGGAUAAGAGCUGAAAGCAUCUAAGCUCGAAGCCACCCCAAAAACGAGACACAUAUUCAUUUCUCGUAGAAGACGAGUUUGAUAGACUGCGGAUGUAA